rnacentral:rRNA from 1 species
CCUACGGGGUGCAGCAGUGGGGAAUAUUGGGCAAUGGGCGCAAGCCUGACCCAGCAACGCCGCGUGAAGGAAGAAGGCUUUCGGGUUGUAAACUUCUUUUCUCAGGGACGAAGCAAGUGACGGUACCUGAGGAAUAAGCCACGGCUAACUACGUGCCAGCAGCCGCGGUAAUACGUAGGUGGCAAGCGUUAUCCGGAUUUACUGGGUGUAAAGGGCGUGUAGGCGGGAAAGCAAGUCAGAUGUGAAAACCAUGGGCUCAACCUGUGGCCUGCAUUUGAAACUGUUUUUCUUGAGUACUGGGGAGGCAGACGGAAUUCCUAGUGUAGCGGUGAAAUGCGUAGAUAUUAGGAGGAACACCAGUGGCGAAGGCGGUCUGCUGGACAGCAACUGACGCUGAGGCGCGAAAGCGUGGGGAGCAAACAGGAUUAGAUACCCCGGUAGUC